rnacentral:rRNA from 1 species
CGGAGGGUGCAAGCGUUAUCCGGAUUUACUGGGUUUAAAGGGUGCGUAGGUGGAUUGGGAAGUCAGUGGUGAAAUACUACAGCGCAACUGUGGAACUGCCAUUGAUACUAUCAAUCUUGAAUACAGUGGAGGCAGGCGGAAUGUGUCAUGUAGCGGUGAAAUGCUUAGAUAUGACACAGAACACCUACUGCGAAGGCAGCUUGCUACACUGUCAUUGACACUGAGGCACGAAAGCGUGGGGAUCAAACAGGAUUAGAUACCCUGGUAGUCCACGCCCUAAACGAUGUUCACUCGAUCUCGGCGAUACACAGUCGGGGUCUAUGCAAAAGCAUUAAGUGAACCACCUGGGGAGUACGAUCGCAAGAUUG